UACAGAGGAUGCAAGCGUUAUCCGGAAUGAUUGGGCGUAAAGCGUCUGUAGGUGGCUUUUUAAGUCCGCCGUCAAAUCCCAGGGCUCAACUCUGGACAGGCGGUGGAAACUACCAAGCUGGAGUAUGGUAGAGGAAGGUGGAAUUCCCGGUGUAGCAGUGAAAUGCGUAGAGAUCGGGAGGAACACCAGUGGCGAAGGCGGCCUUCUGGACCAAUACUGACGCUCAUGCACGAAAGCGUGGGGAGCAAACAGG
rnacentral:rRNA from 1 species